ACGAACGCUGGCGGCGUGCUUAACCCAUGCAAGUCGAACGGAAAGGCCCUGCUUUUGUGGGGUGCUCGAGUGGCGAACGGGUGAGUAACACGUGAGUAACCUGCCCUUGACUUUGGGAUAACUUCAGGAAACUGGGGCUAAUACCGGAUAGGAGCUCCUGCUGCAUGGUGGGGGUUGGAAAGUUUCGGCGGUUGGGGAUGGACUCGCGGCUUAUCAGCCUGUUGGUGGGGUAGUGGCUUACCAAGGCUUUGACGGGUAGCCGGCCUGAGAGGGUGACCGGCCACAUUGGGACUGAGAUACGGCCCAGACUCCUACGGGAGGCAGCAGUGGGGAAUAUUGCACAAUGGGCGGAAGCCUGAUGCAGCAACGCCGCGUGCGGGAUGACGGCCUUCGGGUUGUAAACCGCUUUCGCCUGUGACGAAGCGUGAGUGACGGUAAUGGGUAAAGAAGCACCGGCUAACUACGUG
rnacentral:rRNA from 1 species